rnacentral:rRNA from 1 species
GACGAACGCUGGCGGCGUGCUUAAUACAUGCAAGUCGAACGGAAAGGUCCUGCUCUUGUGGGGUGCUCGUGUGGCGAGCGGGGGAGUAACACGUGAGUAACCUGCCCUUGUCUUUGGGAUAUAUUCAGGAAACUGGGGCUAAUACCGGAUAGGAGCUCUUGCAGCAUGGGGGGGGUUGGAAAGAGUCGGCGGUGGGGGCUGGACUCGCGGGUUAUCAGCUAGUUGGUGGGGUAGUGGCUUACCAAGGCUUUGACGGGUAGCCCGCCUGGGAGGUGGACCGGCGUCCAUGGGCCUGAGGGACGGAGCAGACUCCAACGGGAGGCAGUAGUCGGGAGUAUUGCACAGUAGGCCGGAGCCUGAUGCGGCAGCCCCGCGAUCGUGAUGACGGCUUUCGAGUUGAAAACCGCUUUCGCCUUUAACGAGCCGUGCUUGACGGUACUGGGUAAAAAAGCCCCGGCUAACUACGUG